rnacentral:rRNA from 1 species
CUUGAGCUUGAAUCCUGGCUCAGGACGAACGCUGGCGGCGUGCCUAAUACAUGCAAGUCGAGCGCAGGAAACUAAGCAGAUCCCUUCGGGGUGAAGUUUUGUGGAAUGAGCGGCGGACGGGUGAGUAACACGUGGGCAACCUACCUAUAAGACUGGGAUAACUCAUGGAAACAGGAGCUAAUACCGGAUAACCGGUGCGUUCGCAUGAACGCACUUUAAAAGGCGGCAUUUGCUGUCACUUAUAGAUGGGCCCGCGGCGCAUUAGCUAGUUGGUGAGGUAAUGGCUCACCAAGGCAACGAUGCGUAGCCGACCUGAGAGGGUGAUCGGCCACACUGGGACUGAGACACGGCCCAGACUCCUACGGGAGGCAGCAGUAGGGAAUCUUCCGCAAUGGACGAAAGUCUGACGGAGCAACGCCGCGUGAACGAUGAAGGUUUUCGGAUCGUAAAGUUCUGUUGUUAGGGAAGAACACGUACCGUUCGAAUAGGGCGGUAUCUUGACGGUACCUAACGAGAAGC